CCUACGGGAGGCAGCAGUGGGGAAUAUUGCACAAUGGGGGAAACCCUGAUGCAGCGACGCCGCGUGAGUGAAGAAGUAAUUCGUUAUGUAACGCUCUAUCAGCAGGGAAGAAAAUGACGGUACCUGAGUAAGAAGCCCCGGCUAACUACGUGCCAGCAGCCGCGGUAAUACGUAGGGGGCAAGCGUUAUCCGGCUUUACUGGGUGGAAAGGGAGCGUAGACGGCAGUGCAAGUCUGGAGUGAAAGGCGGGGGCUCAACCCCCGGACUGCUCUUGAAACUGUACGGCUGGAGUGCAGGAGAGGUAAGUGGAAUUCCUAGUGUAGCGGUGAAAUGCGUAGAUAUUAGGAGGAACACCAGUGGCGAAGGCGGCUUACUGGACUGUAACUGACGUUGAGGCUCGAAAGCGUGGGGAGCAAACAGGAUUAGAUACCCGGGUAGUC
rnacentral:rRNA from 1 species